rnacentral:rRNA from 1 species
GCCCCACUAGUCUGGGAUACCACCUGGAAACAGGUGCUAAUACCGGAUAAGAAAGCGGAUCGCAUGAUCAGCUUUUAAAAGGCGGCGUAAGCUGUCGCUAUGGGAUGGCCCCGCGGUGCAUUAGCUAGUUGGUAAGGUAAAGGCUUACCAAGGCGAUGAUGCAUAGCCGAGUUGAGAGACUGAUCGGCCACAUUGGGACUGAGACACGGCCCAAACUCCUACGGGAGGCAGCAGCG